rnacentral:tRNA from 1 species
GCUGUUGUGGCCUAGCUGGUUAGGGCGCCAGACUCAUAAGUUCAAGACUGAGAUAUCUGGAGGUCGCGGGUUCGGAUCCCGUCAACAGCA